rnacentral:rRNA from 1 species
AGAGUUUGAUCCUGGCUCAGGAUGAACGCUAGCGGCAGGCUUAACACAUGCAAGUCGAGGGGCAGCACGGGUAGCAAUACCUGGUGGCGACCGGCAAACGGGUGCGGAACACGUACGCAACCUUCCCAAAACUGGUGAAUAGCCCUCUGAAAAGGGGAUUAAUACACCGUAAAAUAUAGCAGUGGCAUCAUUGUUAUAUAAUAGCUCCGGCGGUUUUGGAUGGGCGUGCGUCUGAUUAGGUAGUUGGUGGGGUAACGGCUCACCAAGCCAACGAUCAGUAACUGGUGUGAGAGCACGACCAGUCACACGGGCACUGAGACACGGGCCCGACUCCUACGGGAGGCAGCAGUAAGGAAUAUUGGUCAAUGGACGCAAGUCUGAACCAGCCAUGCCGCGUGAAGGAUUAAGGUCCUCUGGAUUGUAAACUUCUUUUAUAGGGGGCGAAAAAAGGCCUUUCUAGGUCACUUGACAGUACCCUAUGAAUAAGCACCGGCUAACUCCGUGCCAGCAGCCGCGGUAAUACGGAGGGUGCAAGCGUUAUCCGGAUUCACUGGGUUUAAAGGGUGCGUAGGCGGGUUGAUAAGUCAGUGGUGAAAUCCUGGAGCUUAACUCCAGAACUGCCAUUGAUACUAUCAGUCUUGAAUAUGGUGGAGGUAAGCGGAAUAUGUCAUGUAGCGGUGAAAUGCAUAGAUAUGACAUAGAACACCUAUUGCGAAGGCAGCUUACUACGCCUAUAUUGACGCUGAGGCACGAAAGCGUGGGGAUCAAACAGGAUUAGAUACCCUGGUAGUCCACGCCCUAAACGAUGAUUACUGGACAU